GGUUUGUCUGGCGGUGGGUUGGCUGAGAAGAGGGAGUUGAGACAGAGAGGGAGAGGAGAUCUCAGGCGUGGAAACACAGAGAGAAAGAAAAAAAAAGAGAAGAAGAAGAAGAAGAAAGAAGAAGAGGAAAGGGAUUCGAGGAGGAGAGGGAUUCCGGUUGCACUUCCAGCUGAAGGAAAAAACGUAGAUCUCCUUCCCCUCUACGCAAGGACCUCGAUUACCAAAAAGAAAAAGAUAAAUAUCCGUCCCUAUCUAGUCUUUUGAUGAUAUUAGGCUAUACAAAGGGUGGAUAUAGUCUAGAGGGGUCGGAUAAGGGUUGUAGAAGCGGUUAAAAGAGGAAGAAUCGGAUUUUGACAAAUUUUUUCCGGCACUACGGAAAAACUGUGUCGAAGUUCCAACUUCGGCGAAUUAUUUAGAUGGCCAAACGACCUUCGAUAGCAAUGCAUGUUACCUCUUUGGAAUCCCCUAUGAGUGUAGAAUGUUAGGUAAAAAUUUCAUCAAAUUUGGAGUUUGGAAAGUAAAUCAAACCCAGGGUGAAGUAACCGGCUGUCGGUCCGAGUUACUGUUCAUCCGAGUGGGAAAGUAGGGGAUUUCAUGCCAUAAUAGGGUAUUAAGCCCAGAUUAAGCUAAGGGAGACCUUGUACUCGUGCAAGGGAGUCCCUAAU
rnacentral:lncRNA from 1 species